CCAACCUAAAGCAAUGGGAACUAUGAAUGUAAUUCCUUAAAAAACUGAAAACUAGAGAUAGACAGUUUCAUGAACAGCCAGACUCAAGACUGGAGGAUAAGCAGAGUGUUGCUACUAAAAAGGAACAUGCAGGAAACCAGUUUUCCUUCUGACUGCCUACAGACCAUGAGGAAAUUCUACUCUGCUCCUUACCAAGCAUUCCAGGCUUUGCUACUUGCAUCAGUGAUGGCUUGGUGUAGAAAGAAAAGCCAACAAGCUCCAGAGUAUUCACCAGAAAUUCUGCCCUACUCAAGUCAGGAUGCAAUACUUGCCUUAGUAAUUUUCUCCCUCUUGUCCUUUCUGCCCAAUGUGAAUCUACAAUGUUUGAAGGAUGCAAGCCCUGUGUAUGAACAGGAGGCAACCUCUUGUUUGUGUGAUGAGAAACAUAAUUUUGAGGAACUUGGUAGGUUCUUGAAAAGACAGAAUGGAAACAGAAUCUCAUUUCCUCUUUCUUUGGCAUCCAUUUUUGGUUACUUAUUAAUUCUAAGGAAAGAGUAACAUUGGAGAAAAGCAUUAAAUGGGAGACACUCAACACUGGCUUUUCUUCUGUAACUCUGAAGUGCAAUGGUUAAUUGAUGGCCAGACCUGUGAAUGUGACUAUAUGACUGAGAUGCGUAGGGGUAAUGACAUGAGUUUGGAAAACUACUUUCAGAGGCAAAUAAAGAGUAUUACAUACAUUGCA
rnacentral:lncRNA from 1 species